rnacentral:rRNA from 1 species
UACGUAGGGUGCGAGCGUUAAUCGGAAUUACUGGGCGUAAAGCGUGCGCAGGCGGUUCGCCAAGUCAGGUGUGAAAUCCCCGGGCUUAACCUGGGAAUUGCGCUUGAAACUAGCGGGCUUGAGUGCGGCAGAGGAAGGUGGAAUUCCACGUGUAGCGGUGAAAUGCGUAGAGAUGUGGAGGAACACCGAUGGCGAAGGCAGCCUUCUGGGCCAACACUGACGCUCAUGCACGAAAGCGUGGGGAGCAAACAGG